CGCUGGCGGCGUGCCUAAUACAUGCAAGUCGUACGCUUCUUUUUCCACCGGAGCUUGCUCCACCGGAAAAAGAAGAGUGGCGAACGGGUGAGUAACACGUGGGUAACCUGCCCAUCAGAAGGGGAUAACACUUGGAAACAGGUGCUAAUACCGUAUAACAAUCGAAACCGCAUGGUUUUGAUUUGAAAGGCGCUUUCGGGUGUCGCUGAUGGAUGGACCCGCGGUGCAUUAGCUAGUUGGUGAGGUAACGGCUCACCAAGGCCACGAUGCAUAGCCGACCUGAGAGGGUGAUCGGCCACAUUGGGACUGAGACACGGCCCAAACUCCUACGGGAGGCAGCAGUAGGGAAUCUUCGGCAAUGGACGAAAGUCUGACCGAGCAACGCCGCGUGAGUGAAGAAGGUUUUCGGAUCGUAAAACUCUGUUGUUAGAGAAGAAUAAGGAUGAGAGUAACUGUUCAUCCCUUGACGGUAUCUAACCAGAAAGCCACGGCUAACUACGUGCCAGCAGCCGCGGUAAUACGUAGGUGGCAAGCGUUGUCCGGAUUUAUUGGGCGUAAAGCGAGCGCAGGCGGUUUCUUAAGUCUGAUGUGAAAGCCCCCGGCUCAACCGGGGAGGGUCAUUGGAAACUGGGAGACUUGAGUGCAGAAGAGGAGAGUGGAAUUCCAUGUGUAGCGGUGAAAUGCGUAGAUAUAUGGAGGAACACCAGUGGCGAAGGCGGCUCUCUGGUCUGUAACUGACGCUGAGGCUCGAAAGCGUGGGGAGCAAACAGGAUUAGAUACCCUGGUAGUCCACGCCGUAAACGAUGAGUGCUAAGUGUUGGAGGGUUUCCGCCCUUCAGUGCUGCAGCUAACGCAUUAAGCACUCCGCCUGGGGAGUACGACCGCAAGGUUGAAACUCAAAGGAAUUGACGGGGGCCCGCACAAGCGGUGGAGCAUGUGGUUUAAUUCGAAGCAACGCGAAGAACCUUACCAGGUCUUGACAUCCUUUGACCACUCUAGAGAUAGAGCUUCCCCUUCGGGGGCAAAGUGACAGGUGGUGCAUGGUUGUCGUCAGCUCGUGUCGUGAGAUGUUGGGUUAAGUCCCGCAACGAGCGCAACCCUUAUUGUUAGUUGCCAUCAUUCAGUUGGGCACUCUAGCAAGACUGCCGGUGACAAACCGGAGGAAGGUGGGGAUGACGUCAAAUCAUCAUGCCCCUUAUGACCUGGGCUACACACGUGCUACAAUGGGAAGUACAACGAGUCGCGAAGUCGCGAGGCUAAGCUAAUCUCUUAAAGCUUCUCUCAGUUCGGAUUGUAGGCUGCAACUCGCCUACAUGAAGCCGGAAUCGCUAGUAAUCGCGGAUCAGCACGCCGCGGUGAAUACGUUCCCGGGCCUUGUACACACCGCCCGUCACACCACGAGAGUUUGUAACACCCGAAGUCGGUGAGGUAACCUUUUGGAGCCAGCCGCCUAAGGUGGGAUAGAUGAUUGGG
rnacentral:rRNA from 1 species